UACAGAGGGUGCAAGCGUUAAUCGGAAUCACUGGGCGUAAAGCGUGUGUAGACGGUCAUGUAAGUCGGGUGUGAAAGCCCCGGGCUCAACCUGGGAAUUGCAUUCGAGACUGCAUGGCUAGGAUGCGGAAGAGGGAAGCGGAAUUCCAGGUGUAGCGGUGAAAUGCGUAGAUAUCUGGAGGAAUACCGGUGGCGAAGGCGGCAUCCUGGACCAUUACUGACGCUGAGGCGCGAAAGCAUGGGGAGCGAACAGG
rnacentral:rRNA from 1 species